AACGGCCAUACCAUGCUGAAUAUACCGGUUCUCAUUAGAUUACCGAAGUCAAGCAUCAUUGGGCGGUACUUGCAGGUGGGUGACCACCUGGGAACACCGCGUGCCGUU